UACGUAGGGUGCGAGCGUUAAUCGGAAUUACUGGGCGUAAAGCGUGCGCAGGCGGUUCGUCAAGUCUUGUGUGAAAGCCCCGGGCUCAACCUGGGAAUGGCAUGGGAAACUGGCGAGCUGGAGUGCGGCAGAGGGGGGUGGAAUUCCGCGUGUAGCAGUGAAAUGCGUAGAGAUGCGGAGGAACACCGAUGGCGAAGGCAGCCCCCUGGGCCAAUACUGACGCUCAUGCACGAAAGCGUGGGGAGCAAACAGG
rnacentral:rRNA from 1 species